rnacentral:rRNA from 1 species
AAAUGAAUUGACGGGGGCCCGCACAAGCGGUGGAGCAUGUGGUUUAAUUCGAUGCAACGCGAAGAACCUUACCUGGUCUUGACAUCCACGGAAUUUGGCAGAGAUGCCUUAGUGCCUUCGGGAACCGUGAGACAGGUGCUGCAUGGCUGUCGUCAGCUCGUGUUGUGAAAUGUUGGGUUAAGUCCCGCAACGAGCGCAACCCUUAUCCUUUGUUGCCAGCGGUCCGGCCGGGAACUCAAAGGAGACUGCCAGUGAUAAACUGGAGGAAGGUGGGGAUGACGUCAAGUCAUCAUGGCCCUUACGACCAGGGCUACACACGUGCUACAAUGGCAUAUACAAAGAGAAGCGACCUCGCGAGAGCAAGCGGACCUCAUAAAGUAUGUCGUAGUCCGGAUUGGAGUCUGCAACUCGACUCCAUGAAGUCGGAAUCGCUAGUAAUCGUGGAUCAGAAUGCCACGGUGAAUACGUUCCCGGGCCUUGUACACACCGCCCGU